CACGUAGGAGGCGAGCGUUGUCCGGAAUCAUUGGGCGUAAAGAGCUCGUAGGCGGUCUGUCGCGUCGAAUGUGAAAACCCGGGGCUCAACUCCGGGCUUGCAUUCGAUACGGGCAGGCUAGAGUUCGGUAGGGGAGACUGGAAUUCCUGGUGUAGCGGUGAAAUGCGCAGAUAUCAGGAGGAACACCGGUGGCGAAGGCGGGUCUCUGGGCCGAUACUGACGCUGAGGAGCGAAAGCGUGGGGAGCAAACAGG
rnacentral:rRNA from 1 species